GGGGCGGGCCAAUGGCUGUGACGGAUAAGGGGUGUGGGGUGCGGGGACAAUGGGCCAGAGCUUCUCAUGCAGCCUGCACCAGCGCCGGGUCGGAGAGUCAGAGGCCACCCUGAGAUGGACCGAGAUCUUCAGUUGGGGAGGCGCCUCCGGUGAGCUUGCGGCCAGAUGCCCCCUCAGUAGUCCUCCGCAACAGGUGCCGCGCAGCCGAGUGGCGGGCUAGCAUACCGCCUGCCCGCAAUUCGGCCAGGCCUCGAGCCUGCUCCGCCUUCCCGCUGCGGUAGCGCCGCCGGGGAAACGCCGCCACGGGCUGCAUGGGCAGCGCUCGCGCCCCGCCGCUGAGCCGCCGGGGAGCCGUCCAGUCUUCGAAUCCCAGCUUGGUGGCAUGCAUGUUUAGUCCCAGCUACACAGCAGGGAGGCUGAGGCUGAAGGAAUACUUGAGCCCAGGAAUUCAAGACUAGCCUGCACAACAUAGUGAGACCCUGACUUUAAAAUAAAUUUAAAAAAAUUAAAAGCAA
ensembl:lncRNA TTTY14 testis expressed transcript, Y-linked 14